CCUUGGUUACUAGAAAGGCAGUACACAACUUCUAAAGUUUUUUUUCUCGAACGCACAGGAAAACUGUGCACCAUUAGUUUAAGAAGAAAAUGGGUCUAAAAUAGACCAAACACAAGCUACCUUAAGAGGCAGAAAGAAAAUAGGAGGGGAAGGAAGAGGAGAAGGGGGGUGGGGUGGGGGUAUACAACAACAUCAACACCUCCCUAAUCUAAGGCCACAACCGUCUAAAGUAGCUUCUGCCAAGUGCCAAAUGCCCAAAUGUAGUUGACCUUGUGCUGCGGGAUAAUGUGUUUCAUCAUAACCCUCUAGAGGAAUCAUUACUGGUAGGACAUACCUAAUGUUACAACUUAUUUCAUUUUUAGCUAUCUCAGCUAGCAUUCAUGUAUAAAAGGGGCAGAAGUUUGAUAUCUUGUCCCCAUGAAUCCUCCUACGGCAAUAACAUACCAGUAGAAGAGAACAAUAUGCCUAAAGACACAUUUGCACUCAGCAUUAUCCUUUUAAUUCUUCUCUUCAAUAUAUAUGCAGGUAUGGGGUUCGCUCUUGCUUCUAUGCAAUAUAUUAAUUGAUAGACCAUUAUACCAUACCUGAACAUGUUCUUUUGUCUUAAUGCAGGCCAAACUAUAGUUGUCCAAAAUGAUAAUGCUGUUACUGCAAAGUUGACAAAGGGGCAUAGCAGAAAGAUUCUUACAGAGGUUCAGGAUUAUGAUUACGGAAGUGCAAACUCUAGGCAUGAUCCACGCAGAAGGCCUGGGACUGGAGGUAGGAAUGGCUAGAGUGCUA